rnacentral:miRNA from 1 species
UACUCCAGAGAGUGGCAAUCGUG